UACGGAGGGUGCAAGCGUUAAUCGGAUUUACUGGGCGUAAAGGGCGCGCAGGCGGCUAUCCAAGUCAGGCGUGAAAGCCCCGGGCUUAACCUGGGAGGUGCGUCUGGGACUGGGUGGCUAGAGAUCGGGGAGAGGAGAGUGGAAUUCCCAGUGUAGAGGUGAAAUUCGUAGAUAUUGGGAAGAACACCGGUGGCGAAGGCGGCUCUCUGGACCGAUACUGACGCUGAGGCGCGAAAAGCGUGGGGGAGCAAACAGGG
rnacentral:rRNA from 1 species